ensembl:lncRNA
UUCGAUUUGAAGUGAAACAUUUAUUAUAUUUGACUUACAAAAAUGUAAUUCUUGCUUGGUAGAGAUUACAGAACCAGUUUUAAAACAUCCCUUGCACUUUGAAAUGAUCUCUUGAAGUAAUUAAAAAACGGACCACAACCAGCAAACAACAACAGUAAGAAUAUCUCAAACUACUUAUGAAAAUAAUGUAUGGAAAAGAAUCUCAGGAGGCACUGGAUGAAACAAAAAUAUUCAUUUUUUGCCCAUACAUUACUUGAAAUGGUAAAUUUCCCCGACCUUGGACCUAUAGCAGCCAUACUGGUUAGUUGGGGGUAUACAUCUUUAAGAAUCUUAAGGGUAAUCAUAAAAACUCAAAAUGGCAUCCGGGGGAAAUUUAAUAUGCAGAAAUUGAAUGCAGACCUAAAGAAAUACUGCAUUGGUUUCCCCAACUAAACAACCAAUAUGGCUGCUAAGUGAACAUGUUUCUUUACAAACAAAAGGCACACUACAUGACAUCAUCAUUGCACUAAUGUGGUGACAUCAUAUAUAAUAUAAACCAAUGUGAAAAAAACAGCAAUAACCUUUCGCCUUGUGGAUCGAUUGAUUUACUGUUUGGCGACCGUUUCAAAUCUACAGCUGCAUUGCACCACAGAAGGCGGUCCGCAAAGGCUGACUGGUGGGUGGCUGGUGGGACAUGAAGUUAAACUGUGUUUUUGCAAGUGUCUUCUUUGCACAGUGUCCGUCUUUGGCUGGUGGACACCUUGUCGAUAUUCAAGUACCCUCCUCUACCUCUUGAGUGGGAAGUUAAAUAAAUUAGAUGCUGAAUGAACUGCCCUGCAGUUGCAAUGUGACUGGUGGUGAUAGUAGACAUACAUGAUACUCAGUACAGUUUAACUGAAGACCAGGGGUGUUCCUUCCUGAUUUCUCAAAUGGAUGAGUUUGCUCGUCAUACAAAACAAACAUGUCAAAGUGUGAAAAACAAACUACGCUGGUUAUGCUUUUACUUUGCCCAGCUCUUCUAUGUGCACAGAUUCUAAAGUAAUACCACAUCCCGUUUCGUUAAACUGCCUUGAUGAGUUUCGAAGGCCAACAUCUAAAGCCUCAAAGUUAUUGACGACAAAGCGUACAUGGAAACCAAACAGAGAAUAAAACGCCCGGAAAAGCACACCCACAGACAUUAUCUCCAAACAACAGACAUAUAUAACAGCCGUAACGCUUUUAAUGACAAAACCUGUCCUGUACUCCAAUCCUGAGGAGGUAAUAAAUCAGGUAAAGAUUGCAUACAAUUGUAAUUUCAACACCUUAUUUAUAAAAUCAUGUUUUAGCAUAUCAGGUUUGAGGUUGAAUAAUAAUUGAGGGUAAAAAAAGAGUUUAUUUGGGAUAAAAAUGUGUCAACCACAUUUAAUCAGAAAAAAUACCAAAGAACAUUUAACCGAUAACAACACUUUAUGAUCAUGUAUAAUUGUUAAAAAAAUUAUUUAACACUUGCUGUUCUACCAACCUAGCAAUGUAUGAAUAACACGAUUCAUUUAAUUGAAAUUGGAUAAGGACGAUGUCCAUGCUAGCAACCUACUGUUAGCCUACACUCGAAAGAUUGGCAAGAAAACUCAGUAGUUGAUAAAAGAGAACAAAAUAAUGAAACCGUUGCUGCAGUUCUUUUCUGAUAUCCUGUCCUGCUUUGCUGUCCAGCAACAAACCUCGCCGAUCUUAAAAAAUAUAAUGCCAAGCACGGUCUCCCCCCCACACACGUGCCCGUCUACUUUAGCGCUCCUCAUAUGCAUCACUGCUUGUUUGUUGUAGCUUUGCGACGUGAUGAACGUAUCGUGUGAUAACGUGCUUCAAAAUAGCCUAAUUAGAGUAAACACAGAGUCAAAUUCAGCACAAACCUGAUUCAACAAGCCUAUCAUCUAAAUGACAUAUGAAUAACUAGUUCACCACAUUUUAAUCCGUAUUUGGAUAGAUGGAAGUGGAUGCUAACAAGCUAUAAAAUAUUAUAUUUUACAAGAAUCGCUGCAAAAUUGGAUCAGAUCCGUGCCAAAAAAUAAACGAAGAGCUCCAUGACUUUUGGACAGAUUUUUGUAUCUGUUUUGAUAAUCAUCUUUAGUAGAUGUUGUUGGAGUAUUUCUGGCUGGGUGGUCCAUCGGCAUCGAACUGAUAGCCGUGUAGGACGGGUUGGGGGGGGGUCGGCUUAUAAUGAAGAGGUUGUUCGUGGGGGUGGGGGUGGGGGAGGCGGUCAGCAUCAUUCCCUCUCCUUUCACUCUAUUUCUCUCCCUUCUCUGUUCCUGCCUCCCUUUGGUCUAGAGCUGCAGGCUGGGCGGGGCCUGAGGGCGGGGGCGG